CGAACGCUGAAGCCUAGCUUGCUGGGUGGAUGAGUGGCGAACGGGUGAGUAACACGUGAGUAACCUGCCCUCUUCUUUGGGAUAACGCCCGGAAACGGGUGCUAAUACUGGAUAUUCACUGAUCUUCGCAUGGGGGUUGGUGGAAAGGUUUUUUCUGGUGGGGGAUGGGCUCGCGGCCUAUCAGCUUGUUGGUGGGGUGAUGGCCUACCAAGGCUUUGACGGGUAGCCGGCCUGAGAGGGUGACCGGUCACAUUGGGACUGAGAUACGGCCCAGACUCCUACGGGAGGCAGCAGUGGGGAAUAUUGCACAAUGGGCGAAAGCCUGAUGCAGCGACGCCGCGUGAGGGAUGGAGGCCUUCGGGUUGUAAACCUCUUUCGCUCAUGGUCAAGCCGCAACGCUGGUUGUGGUGAGGGUAGUGGGUAAAGAAGCGCCGGCUAACUACGUGCCAGCAGCCGCG
rnacentral:rRNA from 1 species